rnacentral:rRNA from 1 species
GGGUUGUGAGGUUAAGCGACUAAGCGUACACGGUGGAUGCCCUGGCAGUCAGAGGCGAUGAAGGACGUGCUAAUCUGCGAUAAGCGUCGGUAAGGUGAUAUGAACCGUUAUAACCGGCGAUUUCCGAAUGGGGAAACCCAGUGUGAUUCGUCACACUAUCAUUAACUGAAUCCAUAGGUUAAUGAGGCGAACCGGGGGAACUGAAACAUCUAAGUACCCCGAGGAAAAGAAAUCAACCGAGAUUCCCCCAGUAGCGGCGAGCGAACGGGGAGGAGCCCAGAGCCUGAAUCAGUGUGUGUGUUAGUGGAAGCGUCUGGAAAGGCGCGCGAUACAGGGUGACAGCCCCGUACACAAAAAUGCACAUACUGUGAGCUCGAUGAGUAGGGCGGGACACGUGGUAUCCUGUCUGAAUAUGGGGGGACCAUCCUCCAAGGCUAAAUACUCCUGACUGACCGAUAGUGAACCAGUACCGUGAGGGAAAGGCGAAAAGAACCCCGGCGAGGGGAGUGAAAAAGAACCUGAAACCGUGUACGUACAAGCAGUGGGAGCACAGAGCAAUCUGUGUGACUGCGUACCUUUUGUAUAAUGGGUCAGCGACUUAUAUUCUGUAGCAAGGUUAACCGAAUAGGGGAGCCGAAGGGAAACCGAGUCUUAACUGGGCGUUAAGUUGCAGGGUAUAGACCCGAAACCCGGUGAUCUAGCCAUGGGCAGGUUGAAGGUUGGGUAACACUAACUGGAGGACCGAACCGACUAAUGUUGAAAAAUUAGCGGAUGACUUGUGGCUGGGGGUGAAAGGCCAAUCAAACCGGGAGAUAGCUGGUUCUCCCCGAAAGCUAUUUAGGUAGCGCCUCGUGAAUUCAUCUCCGGGGGUAGAGCACUGUUUCGGCAAGGGGGUCAUCCCGACUUACCAACCCGAUGCAAACUGCGAAUACCGGAGAAUGUUAUCACGGGAGACACACGGCGGGUGCUAACGUCCGUCGUGAAGAGGGAAACAACCCAGACCGCCAGCUAAGGUCCCAAAGUCAUGGUUAAGUGGGAAACGAUGUGGGAAGGCCCAGACAGCCAGGAUGUUGGCUUAGAAGCAGCCAUCAUUUAAAGAAAGCGUAAUAGCUCACUGGUCGAGUCGGCCUGCGCGGAAGAUGUAACGGGGCUAAACCAUGCACCGAAGCUGCGGCAGCGACGCUGAUGCGUUGUUGGGUAGGGGAGCGUUCUGUAAGCCUGUGAAGGUGUGCUGUGAGGCAUGCUGGAGGUAUCAGAAGUGCGAAUGCUGACAUAAGUAACGAUAAAGCGGGUGAAAAGCCCGCUCGCCGGAAGACCAAGGGUUCCUGUCCAACGUUAAUCGGGGCAGGGUGAGUCGACCCCUAAGGCGAGGCCGAAAGGCGUAGUCGAUGGGAAACAGGUUAAUAUUCCUGUACUUGGUGUUACUGCGAAGGGGGGACGGAGAAGGCUAUGUUGGCCGGGCGACGGUUGUCCCGGUUUAAGCGUGUAGGCUGGUUUUCCAGGCAAAUCCGGAAAAUCAAGGCUGAGGCGUGAUGACGAGGCACUACGGUGCUGAAGCAACAAAUGCCCUGCUUCCAGGAAAAGCCUCUAAGCAUCAGGUAACAUCAAAUCGUACCCCAAACCGACACAGGUGGUCAGGUAGAGAAUACCAAGGCGCUUGAGAGAACUCGGGUGAAGGAACUAGGCAAAAUGGUGCCGUAACUUCGGGAGAAGGCACGCUGAUAUGUAGGUGAAGUCCCUCGCGGAUGGAGCUGAAAUCAGUCGAAGAUACCAGCUGGCUGCAACUGUUUAUUAAAAACACAGCACUGUGCAAACACGAAAGUGGACGUAUACGGUGUGACGCCUGCCCGGUGCCGGAAGGUUAAUUGAUGGGGUCAGCGCAAGCGAAGCUCUUGAUCGAAGCCCCGGUAAACGGCGGCCGUAACUAUAACGGUCCUAAGGUAGCGAAAUUCCUUGUCGGGUAAGUUCCGACCUGCACGAAUGGCGUAAUGAUGGCCAGGCUGUCUCCACCCGAGACUCAGUGAAAUUGAACUCGCUGUGAAGAUGCAGUGUACCCGCGGCAAGACGGAAAGACCCCGUGAACCUUUACUAUAGCUUGACACUGAACAUUGAGCCUUGAUGUGUAGGAUAGGUGGGAGGCUUUGAAGUGUGGACGCCAGUCUGCAUGGAGCCGACCUUGAAAUACCACCCUUUAAUGUUUGAUGUUCUAACGUUGACCCGUGAUCCGGGUUGCGGACAGUGUCUGGUGGGUAGUUUGACUGGGGCGGUCUCCUCCUAAAGAGUAACGGAGGAGCACGAAGGUUGGCUAAUCCUGGUCGGACAUCAGGAGGUUAGUGCAAUGGCAUAAGCCAGCUUGACUGCGAGCGUGACGGCGCGAGCAGGUGCGAAAGCAGGUCAUAGUGAUCCGGUGGUUCUGAAUGGAAGGGCCAUCGCUCAACGGAUAAAAGGUACUCCGGGGAUAACAGGCUGAUACCGCCCAAGAGUUCAUAUCGACGGCGGUGUUUGGCACCUCGAUGUCGGCUCAUCACAUCCUGGGGCUGAAGUAGGUCCCAAGGGUAUGGCUGUUCGCCAUUUAAAGUGGUACGCGAGCUGGGUUUAGAACGUCGUGAGACAGUUCGGUCCCUAUCUGCCGUGGGCGCUGGAGAACUGAGGGGGGCUGCUCCUAGUACGAGAGGACCGGAGUGGACGCAUCACUGGUGUUCGGGUUGUCAUGCCAAUGGCACUGCCCGGUAGCUAAAUGCGGAAGAGAUAAGUGCUGAAAGCAUCUAAGCACGAAACUUGCCCCGAGAUGAGUUCUCCCUGACUCCUUGAGAGUCCUGAAGGAACGUUGAAGACGACGACGUUGAUAGGCCGGGUGUGUAAGCGCAGCGAUGCGUUGAGCUAACCGGUACUAAUGAACCGUGAGGCUUAACCUUACAACGCCGAAGGUGUUU